rnacentral:rRNA from 1 species
UACAGAGGGUGCGAGCGUUAAUCGGAAUUACUGGGCGUAAAGCGCACGUAGGUGGCGACGUAAGUCGGGUGUGAAAGCCCCGGGCUCAACCUGGGAAUUGCAUUCGAGACUGCAUUGCUGGAGUACGGAAGAGGAGGGCGGAAUUCCCGGUGUAGCGGUGAAAUGCGUAGAUAUCGGGAAGAACACCUAUGGCGAAGGCAGCUCUCUGGGACGGUACUGACGCUGAGACGCGAAAGCGUGGGGAGCGAACAGG